AACGUAGGAGACAAACGUUAUCCGGAGUUACUGGGCGUAAAGGGCGUGUAGGCGGUUUGUUAAGUCUGGCGUGAAAGCUCUCGGCUAAACCGGGAGAGGUCGUUGGAUACUGGCAAACUAGAGGACGGUAGAGGCGUGUGGAAUUCCGGGUGUAGUGGUGAAAUGCGUAGAGAUCCGGAGGAACACCAGUGGCGAAGGCGGCUCACUGGCUCGUAUCUGACGCUCAGGCGCGACAGCGUGGGGAUCAAACAGG
rnacentral:rRNA from 1 species